rnacentral:rRNA from 1 species
UACAGAGGUCCCAAGCGUUGUUCGGAUUCAUUGGGCGUAAAGGGUGCGUAGGUGGCGCUGUAAGUGGGGUGUGAAAUCCCGGGGCUUAACCCCGGGACUGCAUUCCAUACUGCGGUGCUUGAGGACUGGAGAGGAGACUGGAAUUUACGGUGUAGCAGUGAAAUGCGUAGAGAUCGUAAGGAAGACAGUGGCGAAGGCGGGUCUCUGGACAGUUCCUGACACUGAGGCACGAAGGCCAGGGGAGCAAACGGG